rnacentral:rRNA from 1 species
ACCUCAGUUCGGAUUNAAGGCUGAAAUUCGCCUUCAUGAAGUCGGAAUUGCUAGUAAUGGCAGGUCAGCAUACUGCCGUGAAUACGUUCCCGGGCCUUGUACACACCGCCCGUCACACCAUGAGAGUUGGAGAUACCCGAAGCCUAUGAGCUAACUUUUAGAGGCAGUAGUCGAAGGUAGAAUCAAUGAUUGGGGUGAAGUCGUAACAAGGUAAC